ensembl:rRNA 5S_rRNA 5S ribosomal RNA
UGUGGCCACCAGGCACCCUAUGCUGGCAUCUAGGACCAUACCACCCCGAUCCUAGAAGCUAAACAGAGCCACACUGGUCAGUACUUGGAUGGGAGACCACCUGGGAAUUUUGGCUUUCCACCC